rnacentral:rRNA from 1 species
GACGAACGCUGGCGGCGUGCUUAACACAUGCAAGUCGAACGCUGAACCCGCUUCGGUGGGGGAUGAGUGGCGAACGGGUGAGUAACACGUGGGCAACCUGCCCCCGGCUCUGGGAUAACUCCAAGAAAUUGGGGCUAAUACCGGAUGUGACCGCUGGCCGCAUGGUCUGGUGGUGGAAAGGGUUUCCGGCUGGGGAUGGGCCCGCGGCCUAUCAGCUUGUUGGUGGGGUAGUGGCCUACCAAGGCGACGACGGGUAGCCGGCCUGAGAGGGUGACCGGCCACACUGGGACUGAGAGACGGCCCAGACUCCUACGGGAGGCAGCAGUGGGGAAUAUUGCGCAAUGGGCGGAAGCCUGACGCAGCGACGCCGCGUGGGGGAUGACGGCCUUCGGGUUGUAAACCUCUUUCAGCAGGGACGAAGCGCAAGUGACGGUACCUGCAGAAGAAGCACCGGCCAACUACGUG